rnacentral:tRNA from 4 species
GGAGAGAUGGCCGAGCGGCUGAAGGCGCUCCCCUGCUAAGGGAGUAUGGGGUUUAUAGCUCCAUCGAGGGUUCAAAUCCCUCUCUCUCCGCCA